rnacentral:rRNA from 1 species
AUGUCGCCAACUAUAUCAGCAUCUACACCAAUUUCUGGAUGUUUUGAAUCCAUUGUGCUGGAAUCAGAUAUUCAGAUAGAUCAUGAUCCAUUGCCAUCUCCUCCAUCCCCAUCUAGCUCAACAUUUUCUCCUGUUUUCUCAUUACAUGAUGUCAAGGAACUAGAUUCAAAUAAAGAGAUCAAAGUUGAUGAGACAUAUGAUUAUCUCCCACAAGAAUAUGAAUUAACCGACCAUGAUCUUUGUGCACAUAUAACAAUAGAAUCAUCUUUAAGUAAAGAAUUGCUGGUUCAGAUAGAUGGAAGUUCUGUGAGACAAAAUCAAUUGAUGUGUCUGCUAGAUAAAAACGAGUGGGUAAAUGAUGAUGUGAUCUAUGCAUAUAUAUGUUGUUUAAAGGACCAAAUUCAUGUACAGAAUGACAAUAAAGUAUAUUUUGAGAGUCCUUUUGUUACCUCACUAUUAAAACGGGAUGGUAACCUCGGCAUACAAGAAGAUAGUUCCUUUAUGACAAAGAUUGUCAAAAAAUAUAUGGAGCAUGACAUGGUAAUAUACAUAUCCGUAACUUUCUUGAUUAUGUUUCAUUCAUUUUUAUUUUUUUCCCUAAUUAUCUUUAUUUUUUCUUGA